GCGCCCGUAGCUCAGCUGGAUAGAGCGCCGGACUUCGAAUCCGUAGGCCGCAGGUUCGAAUCCUGCCGGGUGCACCA
rnacentral:tRNA from 1 species